rnacentral:tRNA from 3 species
GGUUUCGUGGUCUAGCUGGUUAUGGCAUCUCGUUAACACCGAGAAGGUCCCCGGUUCGAGCCCGGGCGAAAUCA